CGAAAAUAACAAAAACAUGGAAACUACAUUCCAGGACUUUGGCGAAACAGAUUUUACAGAACUUGAAAACGAGAAAAAAUUCUCAGCAGUGAAGAUAAACGUCUGCAGCUUCAGAACCUCUUUAAAUCGAUUAUAAACAAUAGAUUAAAAAAAGUGUUCUCUGAUUGUGUGAAACUGUGUGGUUCUUGCGAUUGCAGCAACCACCGCAUCUUGGGAAAGAAGCAUGACAACAUUAAAACGCGAUAAAACGUACUUUCGCAAUACAAUGACAAAUGACAGACUGUCAAGUUUGGCGAUUUUCGCUUCAGAGAAGGGAAGUGUGAAAUCCUCAAAAAAACUAAGUUUUCACAUAUCGUUAUAUCGAUGCUUGCCCAGAAAAAGGACAGGAGAAUAGAACUAAUUUGUAAAAAGAUGUAACGGCAUUCUUAUUAGAUCAGUGCUUCUGAUCAGUGGCAGAAUUCUUAAACCAUGUGAAGUACAUGAAGACAUGUGAAGACAUGAAGGAAGAAUACGCAAAAACUGCUAUGCUGCUGAAGCAAGAUCAAAUAUAAUGAUUUUAGUGUACUAUUAAAAUAAAUGUUGAAGUUGUUUUUAACCUGUAUGUCUGUGUGAUGCAAAUCUGUAGAAAUUUACUGGAUGAAUAAAUAAAUAAAAAAUUGUUACAUAUGUA